rnacentral:rRNA from 1 species
GGGCCCGCACAAGCGGUGGAGCAUGUGGUUUAAUUCGAUGAUACGCGAGGAACCUUACCAGGGCUUAAAUGUAAGUUGCAUUAGUUAGAGAUAGCUAUUUCUUCGGACCACUUACAAGGUGCUGCAUGGUUGUCGUCAGCUCGUGCCGUGAGGUGUCAGGUUAAGUCCUAUAACGAGCGCAACCCCUGUUGUUAGUUGCCAGCGAGUCAUGUCGGGAACUCUAACAAGACUGCCGGUGCAAACCGUGAGGAAGGUGGGGAUGACGUCAAAUCAUCACGGCCCUUACGUCCUGGGCUACACACGUGCUACAAUGGUCGGUACAGAGAGCAGCCACUACGCGAGUAGGAGCCAAUCCCACAAAGCCGAUCUUAGUCCGGAUCGCAGUCUGCAACUCGACUGCGUGAAGUUGGAAUCGCUAGUAA